AGAGUUUGAUCCUGGCUCAGGAUGAACGCUAGCUACAGGCUUAACACAUGCAAGUCGAGGGGCAGCAUGGUCUUAGCUUGCUAAGGCCGAUGGCGACCGGCGCACGGGUGAGUAACACGUAUCCAACCUGCCGUCUACUCUUGGACAGCCUUCUGAAAGGAAGAUUAAUACAAGAUGGCAUCAUGAGUCCGCAUGUUCACAUGAUUAAAGGUAUUCCGGUAGACGAUGGGGAUGCGUUCCAUUAGAUAGUAGGCGGGGUAACGGCCCACCUAGUCUUCGAUGGAUAGGGGUUCUGAGAGGAAGGUCCCCCACAUUGGAACUGAGACACGGUCCAAACUCCUACGGGAGGCAGCAGUGAGGAAUAUUGGUCAAUGGGCGAGAGCCUGAACCAGCCAAGUAGCGUGAAGGAUGACUGCCCUAUGGGUUGUAAACUUCUUUUAUAAAGGAAUAAAGUCGGGUAUGCAUACCCGUUUGCAUGUACUUUAUGAAUAAGGAUCGGCUAACUCCGUGCCAGCAGCCGCGGUAAUACGGAGGAUCCGAGCGUUAUCCGGAUUUAUUGGGUUUAAAGGGAGCGUAGAUGGAUGUUUAAGUCAGUUGUGAAAGUUUGCGGCUCAACCGUAAAAUUGCAGUUGAUACUGGAUAUCUUGAGUGCAGUUGAGGCAGGCGGAAUUCGUGGUGUAGCGGUGAAAUGCUUAGAUAUCACGAAGAACUCCGAUUGCGAAGGCAGCCUGCUAAGCUGCAACUGACAUUGAGGCUCGAAAGUGUGGGUAUCAAACAGGAUUAGAUACCCUGGUAGUCCACACGGUAAACGAUGAAUACUCGCUGUUUGCGAUAUACAGCAAGCGGCCAAGCGAAAGCGUUAAGUAUUCCACCUGGGGAGUACGCCGGCAACGGUGAAACUCAAAGGAAUUGACGGGGGCCCGCACAAGCGGAGGAACAUGUGGUUUAAUUCGAUGAUACGCGAGGAACCUUACCCGGGCUUAAAUUGCAGAUGAAUUACGGUGAAAGCCGUAAGCCGCAAGGCAUCUGUGAAGGUGCUGCAUGGUUGUCGUCAGCUCGUGCCGUGAGGUGUCGGCUUAAGUGCCAUAACGAGCGCAACCCCUAUCGACAGUUACUAACGGGUGAAGCCGAGGACUCUGUCGAGACUGCCGGCGCAAGCCGCGAGGAAGGUGGGGAUGACGUCAAAUCAGCACGGCCCUUACGUCCGGGGCGACACACGUGUUACAAUGGCAGGUACAGAAGGCAGCCAGUCAGCAAUGACGCGCGAAUCCCGAAAACCUGUCUCAGUUCGGAUUGGAGUCUGCAACCCGACUCCAUGAAGCUGGAUUCGCUAGUAAUCGCGCAUCAGCCAUGGCGCGGUGAAUACGUUCCCGGGCCUUGUACUCACCGCCCGUCA
rnacentral:rRNA from 1 species